ACAUAACCCCUGCACCACCAUGCUGGCCCCUGUUUUCAGCUUUUUGGUAUUACAAAUAGUGAACAUAUCUACAAAUAGUGGAUUUUUGUACAUAUUUUGUAUGUACAUGUAUACGUAUGCAUUUCAGUUGACUAAAUACUUAGCAGUAGACAUUCUGAGUCAAGGGCUAUGCAUAUGUUCACACUUAAUAGAUGAUGUCAAACUGUUUUCCAAAAUGCUGUACUAAUUUAUACCCCACCAGCAAUAUCUGAGAACUCCAGUUGUUUCAAAAUUUGGUUUUGUCUGUCUUUUGUAUUUCAGCCAUACUGAUGAACAUGUGGUGGUUUCUUAUGGUUUAUUUUGUAAUUCCUUAGUAGUUCAUAAAGUUGAAUGCCUCUUUAUAUACUUUUUUGCCAAUUUUUAUAUCCUCUUCAUGUAGUGCUUAUUCCAAUCUUAUUUUUUCAGGUUUUUUGUUUUGUUUUGUUUUCAUUCAUCAAUUUGUUAGAGUUUUUUAUAUAGUUGGGAUUGGAAAUCUUUGAUAUUAGCUUGCAACAUAUCUUUGGGUCUAUUGGUUUUAGGUGGUAAUAAAGUCUUUAAAAUUACUAUGAACCUCAUUGACUUUGUCUUUUUAUAGUUUACUGGGAUCACAAAAGAUCAUGACUAUCUAGGAAAGAAAUCCUGGGCACAAAUAAAAUGAAGCACUAUAAAAAAGAGAUUUAAGUUUACAAAAACUAGUAGAGCUACCACAUAAAGUUUCAGGAAUCUCCAGUUUAAAGUUUUAUUGUUCCAGUUUAUUAGAAUGCAUUUUUGUGAAUCCAGCCAUUGCUGCUCCUGUUUUUGAAUAAUUAGAAAAAAGUCUUUUUAGAAUUCUCAGAUGUACAGUGACUUAGGAGCUAACCGAUAUAAAUUAUAUUUUCUUUGUGUACAUAAUCUUUCCCUAGGCCUGCUGGUUUUCAUUAAUGUAAAUUAAUUGGAACCACUAGAGAAAGCCAUCCAUUGUUUAUAAAUUACUUGGAACUAAAUUUUCUUCCUAACACAUUUUUUAAAAAUCUAGUAGUUUACUCUGUUUACUUUUAAUAGGCAAUUCAAAGUUAAAAUGUAUUUGUAGAAAUAUGAAUAAAAACAUUUUUAAAAGCUCACUUUACCAUUUUCACUUGGAUUGGUGUUAUAGGUCUGCUGUGUCAGGUCAGCACAACACAAAGUUAAAUGGAGGUUUAAGAAAUUACAGGACAUUUUCAAGCAAAAGUAAUUCUUAUUUGCCUGAAUUAUCUUUGCAAUUGUGUUUUGCCAUGCAUUUCAGGAGAACUCUGAGAUUUUUAAACUGAGUGUCAAUAUCCCUACAAGAUGAUGGAAGGUACCGUCCUGGAAGCAUAAUGUGAAAGCAUAUACACAGUCACCCCUGCUCUACGACAUAGAAAAUUGUCUACGAGAAAAUGCAAGCUUGACUCAAAAGAUAAUAUUCUACAUCCAUACCCUGGAUUGUUACACAUUUAAUCAUCUGAAAGACAUGCAGCCAUUAAAUAAAUUCUAAUCCCUCUAGAGUAUGAUCAGACUUCGAAAUAUAUGAGCCACCAAUGAAUUUAGGAAAGGCAAAAUGAUUUGGUCAUUCACCAAAUACACUACUUUCGCUUCAUGUAUUAUGUCCAACGGCUUAACACAAGAUGUCCUCAAAGUUUCUACUUUAAAGUAAAUUUCCAGCUAUGAGAGCCAAUUUCCAUCUACUUUUAGGGAUCCAAACUUUCCUCAUUCUUCAGACAUUUAUAGUCUGGAAAGAAUAGUCCUGUUUCUAUUUUAAGUAACAAAAAUUAAGGUAAUUCUUAAUUAAGUUACAAUCAAACCAACAAUGUAAAUUGAGUUACUAUUAUGUGAAUGAGAUGAUUUUAAUUCUCCCUUCAGUGACAAUAAAAAGACUGAUUUGUGUACAGAAGAGGAAGAGAAAGAGUAAAACUUACAUAUGCAGAAUUAUUUUAUCUGGACACUGCAACGGUGGCUACAAAAACAGAUGUGGUCUUCUCCAUUUACACUAAUAACAACAAAACUUUAAUUUUGCACUUAUCUGGACCAAUAAGGAUAAAUGUUAUGUAUCAAAAACUCGUGAUGGUACUUCACAUCUCUCAACUUGUAGAGGGGAAAAUUGCAGGCUUAGAAUGCAUAGACUCUUAGAGUAUUUAGUAAGCGUUUGUUUGCAUAUACCCCGCAGAAUUUCAAAAUAGAUAUGAAAUCUUUUCCAAAAAUACAUAAGAUAUAAUAAUACAAAAAUAGUUAAAGGGAAAGAUGUCAGAGAAUAAAAGUGGAAUAUCUCAAGGAAACCAGAGAGAAAAUGAGCAUGCCACAUGUGUAUUGCAUUCAUCUUCUAAAAUUGCUAAAGAUGGAUCAAAUAUUUGACUUUGAGGGUCCUGCAGACAAACCAAAAGGAAAACAUUAUUAACUACAACAUAAUCUGUGACCAUAUAACGAAAAUAUACCAGUGGUUAGGAUAUAACAAUUUUCUUGACGUUUGGUUUCUCCAGUGGGGUUAAAUGAAUGGGAAACUGUAACAGAUGCAGAACAUUCAUAAGGAUAUCAUCAAAUCUAAGCUCCUAAUUUUGACAAGAAGGGAAAUCCCAGGGAAAUGAUAGAUUCUGUUACUCUCAGUGUUGUAAUCAGGUCCGAGAGAGCUUAACUGAAAGAGUAUUUUACUUAUCUGAAAAUCAAUAAUGCACUCAAAUAUUACAUGGAGAGUCUUGAUUAAACAGGUUAAAAGGCAAGGCAAUAUGAAAAAAUAAACAAAAUUUUAAACAAACACCAAUUUGAGAUGUUAAGUCCAAUAUAGCUAUAAUAUCAUUAACUUUGCGGGGAAGCAUGACACCUGCUUACACGAAGUUUAAUUCUUGUAGAGAAAACAGGUACAUAGAUAUAUGAUAUGACAGUAUAUGUCAUAUACUAUAUAUGUCAUAAACACAGUAUAAUGUAUUUAAGUGCUAUUGGCACAUAGUAAUUCAGUUAUGUGGUCAUAGCCAAGAAGGCAAUGAACCCUCAGGCAUCUGUGUGCAUUCGUUUUGUUCAAAGUACAAACCAUGUGAGGUCAGAAGCCAUGCUAAUUAUGAAGGAAACCAGUGGUAAGUAAGAUUUGCUAAGAAACACCACUCUCUGGAAACAAUGCGAAGUGUUUGUAUAAAGCUGGAUUUCCCAUAGAUGGCAAAGAGGAAUCACUGUUAGUACUUAAUGAUACUUUAACUGAACUGAUACUAGUUUGCAUCGCUAUUGUGAAGAGCAACUAGGGAGAAAAUCGUCAUAAAAUAAUGCACUAGCUUCAAGUGACAUAAACCACAAAAACUGCAAGACAUAAACGGUGCUUUGGGUUGCAGAAUUAAGUAACCUAGACCCUUUGACCUUUAAAAUGUAGCUCUCAAAUAUAAGAGCUCUCUUACGGCACUCGGCAUUUCUUUUUCCCAUGCCAUUAUUUUCUUAAGGUAAAUAACAUACAAAUCAUCGGAAAUGGUUAAAGACGUUAAAGGACGCCUAGUUUUAAAGCAAUAUUCGUGUAAGAGAACACAACUGUGGCCCAGAGUGAUGAAGUGUAACGGACCAUAGAGAGUUAAGAGCAGAUCUGGGACUGAAUCCAAGUGAUUUGACCCCCAGCCCACUGCUCUGCCACCUGGGAGGCAGUAGAGUAUUGUCUCUAGCCAGAGUGCCUGGCUAUGAAUGCUGGCUUCACUACUGACUAGCUGUACACUUUGGGCAGGGCAUGUACCGUUUCUGUGACUCAGUGUUCUUAUCUUCAAACUGAGAAGAACAAUGGUAGCUACCUCAUGGGGUUUCUGAGGGGAAUAAGUGAGUCAAUUGCUUAGAAGUGUUUAGAGUACCUAGCAUAGUGUAAACAGGACAUAAGGCUUUGUUGUUAAUACCACUUCUUCCAUGAGCCAGGCAUGAGUCUGGCCUAGCAAAAGACAGUACACUGGGGAAACACACACUAAACCCUCAUGAAUGUGCUGGAAUUGUUUUUCAUCAGAUCCACAUGAGCAGGCAUAGGACUUGGGACCAGGAGCCCUCAGAAGCCCUAACCUCUGUCUAGAAGCAAAUUAUAAUGCUCUCUGCAUGGUUAACCUUGCAUAUUUCUAUACUUUUUGCCACCAAGGAAAUCUGUGCCUCCUAACCAUGGCUGUGGCUUAUUCGUCUCAACAGUAUCAUUUUGCUAAAACCCCUUGCCACCAUUUCAUGCUUAUUUAGAAAAUGUAAUAAUGAAUUAGAGAUUUGAGAGUGAGAACUCUCCCUUUCUUGAUGCAAUGUAAUAAUGAAUUAGAGAUUUGAGAGUGAGAACUCUCCCUUUCUUGAUGCUUUUUCAAGAUAUUAUUUUCUUUUCUUCCAUACAUUUCUUAUAUCUGGCUCUUUAAUAACUCAAAGACGCGAUGGUCAUAAUCUUUUUGACUUUCAGUAGACAUCAAGUCAACAUGUUAAUUCAAUUUUUCUGACACUGAGUUUUUCAUAUCUGCAACUUGCAGAGAGAGGGAUUAAUCCUUACUGAAUUAACUUCUGGAAAAUAUCUUUAUAAUUCAGAGAUUUUAAACUAAUCUUUAUCAUAUUUAACCUCUCCCUGUGUUUGCAUUAAAUUAGUCUUUUAGCUGCAGUUAAAAAGACAUGAAAUAAACUGAAAAAAUUAAUUAAUAAAUUGAAAAAGCUUUCUAAAACCAGAUCUGACUUGUUACCUUAAUAGAGAGGAUCAUAAUUCACAGAGGCCAACUCAAUUUGAAAAGCAAUUAGUUAUCUUGUUAAUUACUUCCUAAUUUUUCUUAGAAACUGAAUACGUUCUCUUAUUUUCUGCCAACCUUCUACUUUUGCCAAGAGCCUAACUCUAAACUUCCCAUGGGAAGCAACAGGAUGUAGACAUUCCAAGAAAAAGCCUUGAUUGGAGGUAAAUCUAACUUUGAAUUCUGACUUCACUGGAUUGGCUAAGCGAUACCUGGAAAGGUCCUCAAUCUUACUAAUCUUCCUUUUUUCCAACAAUACAAUAAGGAAUAAUUGCACCUAACUCGUAAACUCUAAGCAUCUCCCUUGCUGGAUUUAAUGAAGUAAGUGGACAUACGGAAUUGUCCACGUGGCAAGAUACUGGAGGUGAUAUCUGACCAACAGCAAGGAACUGAGGCCCUCAGUCCAACAUCCCACAAGUAACUGAAUCCUACCAACAACCACAUGAGCUUGGAAGUGGACCCUUCUCUAGUCAAGCCCCAGAUAAGACUCUAGCCCUAGCUAACAACUUGAUUCAAACCUGGGUGAAACUAUGAAAUAAAGGACACAGGGGGCUCGGCUAAGCACUCAGAAGGGUACAGGGAGAAUUACUUGUCCUCCCCUACACAGUCACACCACUUGAAAGAGGGAGUGAAUGCUAAAAUUGAUGAAGACUCAGAGAAAAAUGCAUAGAAAAUAAUUUAAAAGAAUAUAGUACAUAAAAAUAAUCUCAGCAUAAGGAAUGACUUCCCAACAUUCACAGUUAUCCAAAGAUUGAAGAGGAAAGGGGGGAAGAAAGAAUAAAGAAUGAUGAUUUGGGGCAUGUAAACUCUACGAUACUGAAAUUACUGAUAUUUCCUUGUUUGUCAAAAAGAGAAACUGAAAGAGCCAAAUAAAACAGGAAUGAGGUUCUUCAUUAAGAUUGACUCGAGUUAUUACUUUACCAGAAUCUUCUUCUACAUCAAAAAUACUGGCAGGAUAAGGAAAUUGGACAUCAUCUACUCUAUACCUCACACGACUUGCAGUGUGAAGAACAGGUCUGCUUAGUCAUGGAUCCCUGAAGAAGGAGACAUGUGCAGUAGACAUGAGCCCAACCUUCCGCCUGAAACCAAGGCCAGCCAACCUCUAGCUGCCUCAAAGACCCAUGAACUAAAAUAUAAACCUUUGUUAGAAUGAAUUGGUGAUAUUUUGGUAUUGUUUACUAUGUAGCACUUUGGUAGGAAAAUUUAAUUGAUGCUAUUGGGUGCAUUUUUGCUUUUUGUGUUUUUUUAAACUUUAUGUAAUGGUAUUAUUUUCUUUUAUUAUUUUCAUUGAGUAUUAGGUUCUUACAUUUCAUUCUCAUUGCUAUUUGUUCAUAAAAUCCUGCUGUGCUAGAAGUUCACAGGACACUUCUCACUUCCCACUUCUAGUAUAUAAUCAAAACAAUUGAAAUUAGAAUCUUGAAGAGACAUUUGCGCUUUCAGGUUCUUUGAAGCAUUACUCACAAUAGCCAAGAUGAGGAAAUAACCUAAAUGUCCAUCAGUGGAUAAAGAAAAUGUGGUAUAU